AGAGUUUGAUCAUGGCUCAGGAUGAACGCUAGCGGCAGGCCUAAUACAUGCAAGUCGAACGGUAAAUAUGCAGCAAUGUAUAUGAGAGUGACGUACGGGUGCGUAACACGUAUGCAACCUACCCUUUACAGGCGGAUAGCUCGGGGAAACUCGGAUUAACCCGUCAUAAUAUAAUUGAAUGGCAUCAUUUGGUUAUUAAAUCUACGGAGGUAAAGGAUGGGCAUGCGUCUGAUUAGUUAGUUGGCGGUGUAACGGACCACCAAGACGAUGAUCAGUAGGGGAACUGAGAGGUUGAUCCCCCACACUGGCACUGAGAUACGGGCCAGACUCCUACGGGAGGCAGCAGUAGGGAAUAUUGGUCAAUGGAUGGAAGUCUGAACCAGCCAUGCCGCGUGCAGGAAGAAGGCCUUCUGGGUUGUAAACUGCUUUUGCCAGGGGCUAAAAAGCCCAUGCGUGGGAAAUUGAAAGUACCUGGUGAAUAAGCCACGGCUAACUACGUGCCAGCAGCCGCGGUAAUACGUAGGUGGCAAGCGUUGUCCGGAUUUAUUGGGUUUAAAGGGUGCGUAGGCGGCUUUGUAAGUCAGUGGUGAAAUAUGGCAGCUCAACUGUCAAGGUGCCAUUGAUACUGCGGAGCUUGAGUACAGAUGAGGUAGGCGGAAUUGACGGUGUAGCGGUGAAAUUCGUAGAUAUUCGGAAGAACACCAGUGGCGAAGGCGGCUCACUGGACCGUUGUUGACGCUGAGGUGCGAAAGCGUGGGGAGCAAACAGGAUUAGAUACCCUAGUAGUCC
rnacentral:rRNA from 1 species